rnacentral:rRNA from 1 species
AGUAGCGGCGAGCGAACGGGGAAGAGUCCAUAGCCGAAUCCUUCGCCCAGAGGGGCGCGGGACAUGUGGCGUAUGGGAGUCGGCGUUCUUGGCUUUUAUCGGGCGGUGCAAGUUCCCAUGAGAGGGGCUCGCUUCCGGAGCGGGUGCUAGGCCCGUACCGCCGCCCAUUAAUUGCCAAGUUGCCGGUCUCCCGGGAGUCGGGUUGCUUGAGAGUGCAGCCCAAAGCGGGUGGUAAACUCCACCUAAGACUAAAUAUGCCCGAGAGUCCGAUAGUAAACAAGUACCGUGAGGGAAAGUUGAAAAGCACUUUGAAGAGAGAGUUCAAGAGUACGUGAAACCGUUCAGAGUAAAACGGGUGGGGGCUUCGAAGUCCUUUGUCGGCGGUGCACUCAGGUCGGAACCUUUUCCUUCUUAUAACUCCCGGUUGGCCUACAAGCGGGUAUCCGGGUUAUGAUUCGGAAUCGGGGCCGUACCGCACUUGCACCCCCGUCUAYCAGGGCGUCSCGAUCGGUCRAGGGGCCGUYGAAGGGAACGGACCGAAAGKUAMCCRMCCAAUUUYUUUGSGAAAUUGUYGGCCGUUACAGACGGACCGAGAAUYCCGRCGGGUYUUYCUGGCCRRUUCAAAAAAWUGAAACSUUYCUUYCCMUYGAACUUGGGAACGGCAUUUUUUAUAAAAUGCUGCGGCGGAACCGGAGAUUGGCGGCGAGUAGGUCUGCUUCCCACCCGACCCGUCUUGAAACACGGACCAAGGAGUCUAGGGCGCGUGCGAGUCCGAGGGUCUUGAUUAGGCCUCGAGGGCGCAACGAAAGCGAGCGAGUUGGGAUCCCUUUAACCUGGUUGAAGGGCGCACCAACGGCCCGUCCGAGCCGGCCUCGGCUGGGCGGAGCAAGAGCACGCUCCCUGGGACCCGAAAGAUGGUGACCUAUGCCCGGGCAGGACGAAGCCAGAGGAAACUCUGGUGGAGGUCCGGAGCGGUUCUGACGUGCAAAUCGAUCGUCAGACCCGGGUAUA